rnacentral:rRNA from 1 species
UACGUAGGUGGCAAGCGUUGUCCGGAUUUAUUGGGUUUAAAGGGUGCGUAGGUGGUCUAUUAAGUCAGUGCUGAAAUAUCCCGGCUUAACCGGGAGGGUGGCAUUGAUACUGAUGGGCUUGAGUAAAGUUGAGGUGGGCGGAAUUGACGGUGUAGCGGUGAAAUGCUUAGAUAUCGUCAAGAACACCUAUUGCGAAGGCAGCUCACUAAGCUUUAACUGACACUGAGGCACGAAAGUGUGGGGAUCAAACAGG